ACCAGCUGCGGGGAGAUGGUGGCUUCGGGUUCCCUGGACCUCCCUGGGUCACUGGACUGCUGUUCUGACAGCCAGGGGUCAUCCUGAAUGGGUCUACACCCUGUCCAUCCUUGGUGAGAUGCUGUCAGAGACUAGCUUCUGCGGGUUCUUGACACUGGCAUGGAUAUCACGAUUGUCAGACUAGACACCCUCCGUGACUUGAUGCAAGAACAGUUGGAUCACAGUGAUCUGGAGUUUCAACCAGUCCCUGGGACAUUCCUGUUUUCUGUGUCAAGAACAAGUCUGGGAAAUGGAGGUUGCUAUAAUACCUCCAGAAAGUUACUGCUAUGAUGGAAAGCAUGGGGAUGUUGCAGGCUAGCAUGCCUUCACCUGCCAUGCUUCCUGCAAAUUGGCUAGUCCUCAUCGUGGAUCUGAAGGAUUGUUUUUACGAUUCCUUUGCAUCCCAAUGACAGACCAAAAUUUGCCUUUCUGGUGCCAGCUAUCAUUGAUGCUGAGCCCACACAGAGAUAUCAAUGGAGGUUUUGCCAUAAGGCUUGUGAAAAUUUGCCUGCAUUUGCCGAUGAUAGGAGGCUCUAGCCCUCUCUGGAGUUUGCAAGCAGUUUCCUGCUGCUCGUCUCUAUAACCUCCCUGAAAUUAUUUGAGGGUCAAAAAUAAUUUUGGGACAAACAGUCCCGCAUUUGGAGGUGCAAUUAAUUUUUUUUGCAUUCAGUGCAUACACUGCAUGAAUGAUGUCCAAAUAUUAAUGGACUUUCACAUGGUUGUGUCCCUAGAUGGGACUGACCACAACACAACUGUCUCCCUUGUUUGGUCUAUUAAAAGGGGGACUCUGAUUUUAAAGUCACCUCUGACACUGACCCCAGAGGCACAGUAGAUGCUGGAGGAGGUUCUGUGAGCAGUUUCUGCUCCUCGAGUUUAUUACAUUAAUCUUUCCAUUGAUGUCGCUGUUUUGUUUUUAGUUUGUUUUUUUUUUUUGGAGAGUCAUGAGGCUGGAUCAGCCCAAUUAAUAGAAUUACAGACUGCUGUCAUAGCAUUUCAUAGGUUUUCCCAGGCACCUUUCAAUUUGGCCAUGGAUUCUGCCUCUGUGACCAAAUUGAGAGCCAUCCACAAGCAGGUGUUGAUGUUGGACAUUUGUUUCAUUUAUUUUUGGGGGUUUCUGGUUUUUUUCUGGUUUUUUUGUUUGUUUGUUUGUUUUUUGUAAUAACGAAAGCGUGAGAUAUCACCCUGAAAUUACAGCCUUCUGAUUGUA